rnacentral:rRNA from 1 species
AUUGAACGCUGGCGGCAGGCUUAACACAUGCAAGUCGAGCGGGGGAAGGUAGCUUGCUACCGGACCUAGCGGCGGACGGGUGAGUAAUGCUUAGGAAUCUGCCUAUUAGUGGGGGACAACAUCUCGAAAGGGAUGCUAAUACCGCAUACGUCCUACGGGAGAAAGCAGGGGAUCUUCGGACCUUGCGCUAAUAGAUGAGCCUAAGUCGGAUUAGCUAGUUGGUGGGGUACAGGCCUACCAAGGCGACGAUCUGUAGCGGGCCUGAGAGGAUGAUCCGCCACACUGGGACUGAGACACGGCCCAGACUCCUACGGGAGGCAGCAGUGGGGAAUAUUGGACAAUGGGGGGAACCCUGGUCCAGCCAUGCCGCGUGUGUGAAGAAGGCCUUAUGGUUGUAAAGCACUUUAAGCGAGGAGGAGGCUACUUUAGUUAAUACCUAGAGAUAGUGGACGUUACUCGCAGAAUAAGCACCGGCUAACUCUGUGCCAGCCGCCGCCGUAA